UGAGUUCAGUUCACGAGGUGCAUGUGGUUGCUUGCGUUAAACGUAUAAACUGUUAAAUUAGAUGGCGACUCUGCAUUAAACGUAUUUAUUUAAUUAAUCGGCGAUCGUAUUUCACCAGAGGACUAAGAUAAAACAACUCGAUUUAAAAUAUGAGCAGUUUUAGUGGAUCUGACGUCGAGGGAAAAAGUAUUUCGCUUUUUGUUUGGAGAUGAACGAGACAACACGAGGCACAGCGACAUAAAUAUGACCAACCAGAUCCCAAGUAGACAGGAACAAAUGAAGAUAUAGCGCAUAGAAAUACUUAUUCUUGGUGAUCAACUGCUAUUGACAUUUUUGAAUCGGGGCAAAUGUGGAGUGAAGAAAAACGUUUGCAACACAUCCAUUCCAGAGUGCUCUGACAGAUAAAACUGACACACUUGAUGAGGACACAGUCAAAGCUUUAAAAGCCCGUGUGAUAAAGCAGUCUUCAAUUACUACGGUGUCUGAAUUGCAAGAAGAAGUCACCCUCCACUUAAACAUGUGACAUCUAAACUGUUUUGUGUUUUAGUUCAGCUUUUUAUAGGUUUAUCUUAAGUUGGUUAAAGGCAGAGUGCACUAUUUUUGAAAGCCAAUGUUAACAUUUGAAAUUACCUAAACAAACAUGUCUCUACCCCAAUAGAAUCUGGACCUUCUUUUGAUAGAGCCACCACACACAUACGCAACCCCGGCAAGGAUGUCGGUUAGUAGACACGCCCCUUACUGCUGGUUGGCUACAAGUGUGUUUUGGUAGUCGGCCCAAUUUCCUUUUCCAAAGCGUUUUUCAAACAUUGUGCACUCAGUCUUUAAAUUGCACUUAAAACAUUUUUUUUUCAGUAACUUUUUAUGCAGAGAAUUACAUUAUGAUUAUUAUAUAAUCAUUGCUUAUGAAUAUUUAGUGAUUGCAUAUUCAUAGUGUACUUUUCAUUAAUACAUUUAAUGUUAAUGUUGUACAAUUUGAUAGAAGUAGCUCUGUAAUUGCAUUUCUCUGAUAUUUGUUUUAUAUUGUUUCUCUUUGGUCAAGAGAUUAUGUAUGUCUCUGUGCUUGAUUAAUUUAAUUUAGGUAUUUUUGUAAUGUACACAACACAAUAUGAAGUAUAUUAAAUUGUUCUGUAUUCAAAAUCUGUGUAUGUGUCUUAAUAUUUAAUGAUUUUAAUAUAACAUUUUAAAUAUUAAAAACAGCUUUAUAAUAAAAUAGUAGUAUAAUGCUAAUACAUUUCUAUUAAUGUAAUGCUAGUAUAUUUCUAAUAUGCUGAAGUACUAUUAAA